GAGUGUUUGAUUUUUACUGAAGGAUUUAAAGUAAACACGAACUGCAUUCAUAGUUUUUCCAAUACAUUCUGAAGAAAGGAAGAGAUCGUCCUGUAGUAUUGAAUAUCGACAUCAACUGUGGCUACGUCUAUACAAGCACAGAUUAUUUUAUUUAUGUCUUUUGUGCCUACACAUUUUCGAAAUCUAAAAGCAUUUUACAAAGGAUUACAUAUAUUUUAUGUGACUUAUUCUUAAACUGUUUGGUGGUAAGUAAAUUAUUAAUUGCAAUAACAGAAUGUUGAUAAAUUGUAAUGUUUAGGUACAGUUAUUGUUAAUUUGAAAUAUUUUGUCUUUAAAUAUUGAAUUUAACAUCUUGCUUUUAUCUUGAAUUUGCAUAUUUAAAUUAUUACAUACUUCAUCUAUCAUUGUUUUAGAUGAAAUGAUUUCAGAUGAAGCCUUAUUUCAUCUAAAGAUAUAAAAAAGAUAAUGUGGUAUGAUUGCCAAAAAGACAACUCUCCAGAAGAGACCAAAUGACACAGAAAUAACAACUAUAGGUGACUGUAUGGCCUUCAGUAAUGCAAAGCCCAUGCCCCAUAGUCAGCUAUAAAAGGCCCCAAAAUUAUGAAAUAUUUUUUUAGAUGAUAACUUACUUCAUCCAGAGAUUAUAUGUCUCUGCUUCAUCAGUAUGGUUAUUUAUAAAGAAAUGUUUUUGGAUGUUACCUUAUUAUAUAUAUAUAUGAUUAUUUAGGGGCCUUGGUGUCCCAGUGGUCUAUGUAGAAGAACUAAUUUUGACUUGCCUGUUAACACUGACAUUGUGAGUUGGAAUCCUGCAUGUGGCAGAUGGGCUAAAUAUUAAUUGACUAGGAUUGUCAGUUUUCCUACUGAAGGUUGAUGGUGUUUACAGGGCACUCCUACUUCCUCCUCCAAUAAAACCUGACUUCCACAAAAUAACACAAUAGUGCUGAAUGUGGUACAUGUAUUAAAUUACAAUAUAUCAAUCAAUUCAUAUAUGAUUAUUUACCGGUAAUGCCACCUUUCUGUAGGAAUGAUAAGAUGAAAUUGUUUUGAAAGCUUUCCAUCAUCAGCUAUAACUGUUCUGUUUUAUUUGUUGUAAUUAAUAAAACAUUUUUUAGAAACUUUUUGGUGAAACCAUUUUAUACUCUUUGAUUAGUUUUUUUUUUUUUUUUUUUUACAAAUAAUGAAAUAAAUGUGUCAGUGCUAUAACUAUUAAUUUUUUACUCCAUUAGUUCUUUAAAAUCAGAACAAAGAUAAAUUUAAUAAAAGUUAGAUAGCUUUCUCAUACAUUGUCAUUCUAUGUUUAGAUAAAUUCAGAAUAUUUUUUAAUGGCAAUUUUUCAAAAUCUUAAAUUUAUUUAUUUUUAACGUAAGACGCUCAAACUGUGCAAGAAUCAAAUCGUGUGUGAAGAUUUAUAUAAAAUGAGUAUUUGUGUCUUCUGAUUGAGUGAAUAAUUAUUAAAUGUUUUAUCAAUUUAACCAAAUUGAAACUUUUAAUAUUAUUACAAUGAAAAUUAAUUUGAAUUACAGUUAUUAAUGAUGAAGAUGUUGAUUGUUUAAUGUUAGAGAUAAUGUCACAGGAAAUAAAACCACACUAAAGAGAACAUAGAAAUUAAUAGUUAAUUUGAUAUUUCCUUUUUUUUUACGAAUUUCAGGAGGAUUUUUAACUUUUCUCUAUCUUAUUAAAUCUAUAUAUAUAAUAUUGAACUUUUACUGAUAAUUUAAAUGAAAUAUUAUUAUAAGCAAUCUAAUUUUAUUUUCAACAUAUUUGUUUCUUCCUGAAGUUUUACAGUGUUACAAAUGUUUACUCUGUUCAGACAGUAGACAAUUGACAGACAACCUAUAUAGUGGCAGUUAAUUAGGUAUAUAACCUGAUAACAAUCUGGGAUACUCCAAAACCCUGUGUCCACAAAUCUAGGAAUGUUUAUUCAAUUACAAAAAAACACAAACAUUGCAACUUUUUUUGAUAGUUCAGAGAAAGUAAAUAAAUUAAUUAACAAUUUGUAUUAAAAAUGUUUGACUCAAUUUAUCAUUAGAUUUCUUUUUCAAUAAAAAAAAUAAAAUCCUGUGAAUUUUUUACUUCAUAAAUUUUUUGGAAUUGUGAAUUUUUUCUUGCAGUUUUUUUCCCUAUCAAAUUUGGGAAUUUUUUGAAUGGCUUUUUUCCAUUUCACAGUUUUCCUUUUGAUAUUUAACUUUUUCCAUUGCAGGUUUAUUAACUUUUUCUAUUGCUCAGUUUUCCUUCUAAGAUUAACUUUUGUUUCUAUUGCUCUGUUUUCCUUUUGAGAGUUUAUAGUGUUGGCAAGGAGAGCUAAGAUUGAACCUACCUCUACAGUGGUUAGAUAACUACCAUGAUUUCAUAAAGUUAUUGAGAAUCUCACAGGGUGGGAGCUGAUGGAGGUGUAUCAAUUAGUGAAGAAGCAGUUUUAUAUGAUAUUCAAAUAAAACAAUAGAAAAGGUUUUCACAAAUUUAUUGAAACUGAAACCAGGUGAUAUAAGCUUGGCCUUAGAACAUAUAAUUAAUUAGGUGUAGCCUUCAUGCAUAUUUUGGCACUACACAGAGAUUGUGGAUUUAUUAAUAAGACAAGUGAUUACCAUGUAGUAUUGUGUACUGACAUGUGCGCAUGCAAGAAUGUUAAGGUAAGGCUAUAGAUAUGUGUGUUGUGUAUUCUUUCUGCAGGAAGUCAUCAAUUACCAAACUUUGAUCAUCUUCAACCUGUAUCUACAAGUAUACAAAGAGAAUUUACUACAGAAUUAAAUGUAACACAUCUCAAUGAUAACUAUAAGAAGCUUGUGCCUAGAUUGUAAAUGUAUUUUAUUUUUGUGUUUUUCUUCUUUCAGAAUAGCUGUGUGAGUUGUAGCCAAGUUUUUCAAGGAUUCCACAGUUUACAAUUGAGAUUUAAGUGAAUUAUGUUAUAGUGAUAACUAUGGAUUAUACAGUGUAUUAUAUUUGGAUUACAUGUUUUAUUUCUUCAGGUGAGUUAUAUCAAUGUUUAUAAUUGAAUAUUACAUGUAUCAGCACAAGAACAAUAUGUAUUGUAUUUCACCAAAUUAGGGACAUAGGAGUGCAAUUGUUUAAAACAGAACAAUUUGAUGGAAACAUUAUGGUUUAUGUAAAUCAUAAACAGUUUCUGCUUUUAGUAGAAUUAACCUUUACUUUAACUUAUGCAGAUAAGUCAAAACAAAAAUUAAUAUUUUUAGACUAAUUUUCAUAAAUUAGAUAACUUUCAAUAAAGCUAUCCAAAAAACACUAAUAAUUUGUAAAUAUUUUUGCUUGCCAAUCAGAUCUAAGGGUUAACAUAUAACCUCUAUCAUGUUCAUGUGAAGAGGAGGAUGACAAAGUAAAGACAUAUCAUUAUAUUGAUAGCUGUAUAGUUUGGCUAAAACUGGCCAUAAAUUUAACAAUUGUAGCCUUUAUUUCACCAGGAAACAUUAAAACAAUGAAUUAUUACAUAAAAAGAUAGGUACAUGGAAUGUUGAUUGUAACAUUUCUAUUGGCUUACUUUUCUUAGUAAUGUACAUGUAUAACAACAUAACACGCUGGGAAAUAAUACAUGUAAUAAUAGCCAUUUGUUCAUAACCAGUGCAGCAUAUAGAAUUGAAAUAAUACAAAAUAUAUAAUAGUAUCAGUGAUUUUUAUAUCUAGUAUGUACUUUACAGUUACAAACCAGUUUAAAUCAUAAGACAACAAAUAAAAUAAUGAAACAUAAAUAAUGAAAUAUAAAGAUACAUCACUUUACUGGCUGUUUGUACAUAUAUUGAAGGUGUGCAUGUGGUCAGGGUUUUGAUUUUCAUUAAUAUUUGCUCUUUUGGGAGAUAGUUGAACUUAAGUUUAAGUGAAUGGAUCUCUAUGAAAUUUUUUAAGAAGGCUCAAUACCACAAAAGGAAGGUUGGGAUUGAUUUUGGGGAUGAUGGUCCCAACCCUUUAGGAAUUAGGGACUCAAAAGGGGCUGAAAACAAACAUUUGUCUAGUUUCAGGACAAUAAUUUGUGUAUAAGUAUUUCAAUUGCUCUGAAAAUGUACCAUAAUGUUUAAUACCACAUGUAAAAGGUUGGGAUUUAUUUUAAGGGUUAUGAGGCAAACAGUUUAGGAAUUAAGGGUCAAGCAUUUUUCUAUUUUACAGACAAUAACUUGCGUAACUGUAUGGAUUUCUCUGACAUUGUACCACAAGGUUCCAUAUAACAAAGGGAAUGUUUGGACUGAGUAUGUAGAAAAUAGGGGCCAAAAAGAAGCAUUUUUUUCUAGUAUUCAGACACUAACUUGUGUUUAACUCACAGUGUAUUUUUUCGAAAUUUUUGGACACUUCAAUUCCACAAUAUUGCACAAUAGAUUUGUAAAAACAUUUAUUUUGUGUCAGAAACCUGUAUUAUGUCAUAAAUUUGAUCCCAAUCCAAAUUCAGACAGUAUCAAGCUUGUAUUAUGUGUUCAAAUUUUCCCCCACCUAUUCAGGGUUCGACCUCUGCGUUCGUAUCAGGCUGCUCUCAGCAAAGCAUUUUAUUUUGUAUUAUCUAUAUUGUAAAGGUUUAUUGUGCUAGUCAUUGUAGUGAGAAAUGAUUCUCUAUUCAUGCUAUUGGAAGUUAAAUUUAUUCUAUCUUUAUACCCUACAUAUAGUAUCUCAAAUGGUAAUGCCACAUACAAUGAUAUCAUGUAUAUAUAUAUAUAUAUAUAUUACAUUGUACAUUAUGGAACUUUGUAGAGGUGUGAAAAGGGGGAAAAUAGGAUUUACAUGACACACAGACAAUAGUAGUUAGUAUAUAUACAUGUAUGAUAAGAGCUGUAGACACAUUCAAUCUGUUGAGGAAAGGAAAUCAACAGUUUUCUUAAAUAUGUUUGCUGAUUAGGGUUUUUUAUCUUUUAAUUGAACAUGUUUAACUUACAAUAAAAAAAAAUAAGCAGAUGUGGUAUGAAGCCAAUGAGACAACUCUCCACAAGAGACCAAAUGACCCAGACAUUCAAAACUAUAGGUCACCGUACAGCCUUCAACAAUGAUUAAAACCCAUACUGCAUAGUCAGCUAUAAAAGGUCCAGGAAUGACCAAUGUAAAACAAUUCAAGGAGAAAACUAACAGCCUGAAUUAUGUACAAAAUAGUGACAAAAACAAAUAUUAUGUACAGCAACAAAGGGCAACCACUGAAUGGCUCCUGACUUGGCUCCUGACUUGGAACAGGUAAAUACAGAAUGAGGCAUGGUUUAAAUAGUUGCCUUGUCUGCCUCACAUAAUAGUUACGACCCUGAAAAUGUAAAGUUCACAUUGGCAUUCUUCAGUUUCAGAGUUAUUGGUUUAUUCAACAUGGGGUAAAAGUUUAUUUCACUUAAAAUCUAAAAAGUAGAUAACUUAGUUUAAUAGAUUCUCUCCUUUGACCAUGUUGACUGAGUGAAUUACAUAGUGUGUCUUAUGUACAAAUGAAUAGCAAUUAUUCUGUCUUAUGAGCCUUCUGGCAUGUCUAGUUUGUAGAGCAAAGCUGAGUCGUUUCUACUCCAUUGACAAUUGCUGAUCUACAGUAUCUUUAAUAGUACGCUCUACAAUAUUGUUCAUCAUGUACAUUUUGGGCAGAGCUCCCACCUAUUAGUAUUGAUGUUUUGUGGUAAUGGCUAAGACAAGAACAGUACAUGAAUGAAUGGAAUAUUCUAUUGUUUCUGAGUCUUGUCACAGGUCUUGUGUAUAGGAGACAGGUUAGAUUGACCUUAUACCAUCUUUAAUAAAUGUUUCAUUUCUGUUGUUUAAUUUGAAUCAGAUUAUCCAAUAUAUGCUGUGUCAUUUAUUGCCACCUUCUGUACUAACAUUGAAGUAGAAUUGUUGGGGUCAGGUUCACAGAUUAAGUGGUUCUUAUUUACUCAUGUUACUUGUCUGUUGUUUUGAUUGUAUAAAUAAUACAACAAAACAAACAAGGAAUUCACUCCACCAUCAUUGCUGAUGUAGGAUCAAACUUAAUUCUGUUAUCAAAUGUAUAUUGGAUUGAAAUCCAUUAAAUAAUCAAUUUCAUUCCCAGGUCAAUAUAUGUAAAUUUAAAUCUAGAAUUAAAAAGAAAAACUGGUGUACCUCUGAUUUCUGAAUUAAGAUGGAAUUUACAGUAAAUCAAUUAUUGGAAGUUUUCCAUCAUUUUACAUCAGCCAUUAUCAUGAUUAUCAAUGUAGAAGAAUUACAAGACUUUUGUGCCAAAUGUUCUCUAUCAUUGGUUCCAGCUGAAGAGUUUAUUUUAGUUUGUAAAUUGUUUAUUAUGUCAAUUAAGACAAAUUAAUAGAUCUUUUAUCAUGUUUGUGGUGAUUAGUCCUUGUUAGGCACAAAAUUCAAUUAGAAAACUUAUAAUUAGUUUACUAUGUGUUAAUUCUGUAAAAUUUCAAGUUUUAUUAUUUCUUUGUUCUAAACAUAAAAACCAGGUUCAAUAAUAAUUUGAAUUCCUUACAUAUAUACAUACAUAAAAACGAUUUAUUUGAGGUCUUUUAAUAUCUAUUUGAGUUUUGUUGCACUGCAUAGAUUAUAUGAAUCUGUCGCUCCCCAAUAUACUGAAGAGCCAGAAUGAGUUCUUUAAAAUAAAAAGUAAUGAUCUGAAAUUUUUUUUAAAUAAAAGGAGAUACAAGAUAUAGGUCUAUAAUGCUUUAAAUCAACAACAUUAAUAGCCAAUUUAAUAUAAUUGAUAAGGCAUAUUAUUGACCAUUCUGUCUUGUUUUCCUCAAAUGUGACAUCUUGGAUUUUGUACUUCCUUAUAAGCAACAUGAUCAGGGUGCCACAUAUGGAGCAGGCUUUCCUUACCCUUUCAAAGCACUUGGUUUUGGUAGUAAACAAGUUUUUAGAUUGCUAUGUUGUUAUGUAUAUACUGUUGUUUAUAAGUUUGAAUAUAUAUCCCUUUGGUACAUGUAUCUGCUUACCCUUCCAAUACACCUGGUUUUUCGUAGGAACAAGUUUUAAGAUAGCUAUGUUGUGAUUUGUAUAUAUUGUUGUUUAUUAGUUUGAACAUCCCUUUGGUAUAUAUUUUCUGCCCCUCUGAAAGUAAACAAGGUUACAGUAUAACCUAUAGAUAUCUCCUAAAUAAGACCAGAGUUAAUUAUAUACCAGUCUAAGAUCUCCUAAAUAUGACCAGCGUUAAUUAUAUACCAGUCUAAGAUCUCCUAAAUAUUAACAGUGUUAAUUAUAUACCAGUCUAAGAUCUCCUAAAUAUGACCAGCGUUAAUUAUAUACCAGUCUAAGAUAUCCUAAAUAUGACCAGCGUUAAUUAUAUACCAGUCUAAGAUAUCCUAAAUAUGACCAGCGUUAAUUAUAUACCAGUCUAAGAUAUCCUAAAUAUGACCAGCGUUAAUUAUAUACCAGUCUAAAGAAUCUAAAUAUGACCAGCGUUAAUUAUAUACAGUCUAAAGAUCUCUAAAUAUGACCAGCGAUAUUACCAGUCUAAGAUCUCCUAAAUAUGACCAGCGUUAAUUAUAUACCAGCUAAGAUCUCCUAAAUAUUCAGUGUUAAUAUACCAGUCCUAAAUCUCCUAAAUAUGACACGUUAAAUAUAUACCAGUCUAUAGAUCCUAAAUAUGACCAGCGUUAAUUAUAUACCAGUCUAAGAUAUCCUAAAUAUGACCAGAAGUUAUUAUAUACCAGUCUAAGAUAUCCAAAUAUGAACAGCGUUAAUAUAUACCAGUCUAAGAUAUCCUAAAUGUGCCAGCGUUAAUUAUAUUACCAUUAAGAUAUCUUAUACCAGCGUUAAUUAUUAUACCGUCUAAGAUAUCCUAUAAUAUGACCAGCGUUAAAUUAAUAUUAACCUAAAUAUACCAGUUAAAUAUACCAGUUAAGAUAGCUCAUAUGAGCCAGCGUUUAUUAUUACCAUCUACUGCCUAAAUACCAGCGUUAAUUAUAUACCAUCUAAGAUCUCUAAAUAGACCAGUCUAAGAUAUCCUUAAAAUGACCAGCGUUAUUAUAUACCAGUCUAAGAUAUCCUAAAUAUGACAGCAGUUAUAUUAUAUACAGUCUAAGAUCUCCUAAAUAUGCCAGCGUUAAUUAUACCAGUCGCAAGUUAAGAUCCUAAAUAUAUCGCAGUUAGUAUAUUCUAAAUAUAACCACGUUAAUUAUAUACAGUCAGAUCUCCUAUGACCAGCGUUAAUUAUAUACCAGUCUAAGAUUUGUGCAGAUAGAUUAUCAAAUUGCUGCACAUUGAAAUUGUAAAAUAACAGCUGCUUGCCACAAUGGUAAAUCUUUUUGGUGAUUGAGUGCAGCCAAAAGGCAAACAAACUUGAUCAGAGUUAAUAUACUAGUACAAGAAUUGGUACCUCUAGCCUUAGACUAUCUUCAUAUAGAGUGCUCUUAGUUUCCAAUUUGUAUGUAGUGGUGGACUUUCUCCAAAAAGUUCUUGAUAUUUGAAACUUUAAUAUACUAAUUGUUGUUUUACAAAGGUUGUAACUUAUGCAAACAUUUCGCCAAAUCUCUCAUACGUAAAUCAAAUAUUUUAACAAGCAAAUAUUUUAUCUUUAAAGAAAAGCUUUAAACCCAUAUAGUGAAAUAAAGUAAUACAAAUUGUGUCUUUGAUAUAAUUAGAUCUUGAAGAAGUUUGUUAUAACCAGUAAUAACAGUGAUUUAUCAAUAUUGUUACUUGUAGUCUACCAAGACAAAUAAAGGGGAAAACUUGACUGUAUUCUAGUAGCUAUAGUCAACAUAAUAAUAUACACAAGUACCUCAAUAUACUGACUUAAAUCUCUUUUAUCUCCAAGUAAAUAAAUAAAACCAGGUUAUGACUAUGUCAACAAUCCUUACAAUCAAUCUCUACAACAUUAGACAAAAUAUAAAAGGAGAAUCAAAAUAAGACACACAAAAAGUAGUUAAAAAUUACUUUCUGAUGUUUCACUGAAUAUGCCUGGUCAGUUCCUUCUCAUGUUUGAUUCAACAUAUAUGAAGUAUAUGUAGUUAUAUACCAGUUUGUAGUAUGUGAUAUGUUUUGUAUAUUAUCUUUAUGAACCUGUUUUGGGGAGAUUUGUUUUCAUAUGUGUAUCUCUGAACCUGUUUUGGGGAGAUUUGUUUUCAUAUGUGUAUCUCUGAACCUGUUUUGGGGAGAUUUAAUUUCAAAUGCCAGUCUGUAAAUUUGUAUAAAGUGUUUUGGGGAGAUUUUUUCAAUAUAUACAUGUGAAUCUGUAUGAACCUGUUUUGGGGAGAUUUUGAUUUCACUUUGAGAAUAAGUAUGAACCUGUUUUGGGGAGAUUUUGAUUUCACUUUGAGAAUUAGUAUGAACCUGUUUUUGGGAGAUUUGAUUUAACUGUGUGAAUCUAUGAACUUUUGGGGAGAUUUGAUUUAACUAUGUGAAUCUAUGAACUUUUGGGGAGAUUUGAUUUAACUAUGUGAAUCUAUGAACUUUUGGGGAGAUUUGAUUUAACUAUGUAAAUCUCUAUGAACCUGUUUUGGGGAGAUUUGAUUCCACUAUGUGUAUCUCUAUGAACCUGUUUUGGGGAGAUUUUAUUCCACUAUAUAUAUGAGAAUCAGUAUGAACAAGCUUUGGGGAGAUUUGGCUGUAUAUAUGGUAGUCUGUUUGAACUGUUAUGAGGAUAUUGGAUUUAACUAUGAGAAUCAGUAUGGACCUGCUUUGGGGAGAUUUGACUUUGUGUAUGGUAGUCUGUGUGAACUGUUAUGAGGAGAUUAAAUUUAACAUGUGUGAAUCAGAUGGUUGCAAGUUCAUAUAGAUAUAUUUCUGCUGUCUCCUUUCAGUUUUUGCUGUGCAAGAAUUUACUGUUACUCCACAAGAUAAAAGAGUUGUUCAGGGAACCAGUGUUACAUUUGAAUGUAAAGUGAAAAACCAAGUUGGAAGAAUUCAGUGGAUAUAUAAUGGAGAACCUUUAGG
rnacentral:lncRNA from 1 species